CCCUUAGAUGUUCUGGGCCGCACGCGUGCUACACUGAGUGGAUCAGCGGGUCAGGUUGCGCGAAAGCGUUUCCUAAUCUUUAAAUCCGCUCGUGAUGGGGAUUGACGGUUGCAAUUUUCUGUCAUGAACGAGGAAUACCUUGUAAGCGCGGGUCAUCAUCCCGCGCUGAAUACGUCCCUGCCCUUUGUACACACCGCCCGUCGCUCCUACCGAUUGAGUGGUCCGGUGAGGCUUUGGAUCUGAGCGGAAAGAGCGUUUCGCUGUUUCUGCUCGGAAAACUCAGUCGAACCUUAUCAUUUAGAGGAAGGAGAAGUCGUAACA
rnacentral:rRNA from 1 species